CAAUGGUUUGGUUCUGAAGUCAAUGGUUUGGUUCUGAAGUCAAUGGUUUGGUUCUGAAGUCAAUGGUUUGGUUCUGAAGUCAAUGGUUUGGUUCAGAGUUUGCAGACAUUUGCUCGCAAGAAAGCUAGCAGCUGGCUAACCGCUUCCUGGCCUGGAAAAACGAGAAAUCACUCAACUCUAAAGGGGAUGAAGCAAACACAUGCUCAGCAGCAUACACACAUACAGGAAUGCUGACCUCUGACGGGCUGAAGGAGUCCAGCUCCCUCUUGCCUCCAGGGUACCAACCAUGGGACCAGUGCUGGGCGUUGGACAGCUGAGCCCCCACACAGAGAAGCAGGCCGAGCAGCAAAACCAGCCGAGAUGCAAACAUGUGUCCCUCAGCGUCUUGUCAGAGGCUCAGUCUGCUCACCUUUCAGUCAGUCGGUCGGUUCCUGAAGUUUUCCCAGUUUCUCAGGUGUAGAGUGUGAAGUGUGGAUAUUCUCUUCUCUUCUUAUAUGUACCGGUCUAAAAAGGUCCCCCUCCCAAGAGACAUUUUCAUCAUCAUUCCCAUGUUGCUCCACCCAUGACUGACCCCUUUGGUCCCUUUGAUCCCAGAGCUGAAAUGAAAGCUCCCCUGGGGCUAAGAGGUCUUGGAGACAUGGCCAAUUCCAAUUAUCAUCUACAAACACCACUGACAUACCUGGGAGACUCAUCUGCUUGUUGCAUCAUCUAAAUCUGCCAAGACCAAGAUUAAAUGUGAAAAGGUA